UAUUGCACAUAGUAUACGUUUGACUUUUUAUUUGAUAUACACAAUAUAAUAAAAUAUAUUGAUUUAAAAUCUAUUUUUUCUCGAAUAGCUGGUUAGAUGUUCUGAUAUAGACAGAAUGACUGAAAAUGACCUCUAAUGUAUUACAAUUUAUAACCGUCAUGCCUCAAAACUGGGAGAGGCAGAACGAGCAAGUAGUUCACCCACCAUUUGUUCCUCUAGAAUGUAACACAAGGACACGCAGAUAAUUGUAAGCGUCAACAUUUCUGAAAACGUUUGUAAUUUGAUAAGAAAAUGAGAGUGUGAAGAUGAUAAUUAUACAUCCACAACUGAUCAAGACUAAAGCUGUUUUCCAUGAAUAAUGUCAGACUAUCCAGAAGUUCCCCUGGGCAGUCUCAAAAAUGGCAGAAAAGCUGGUCUUGUUCUCCCUCUACUCCAGCCCAGGAUGAAUUUAAUGAGGACAUGCCUAGACAGGGGCAAUCCAGGGAUUCACCUGGCCGUUCUAGAUGCUCUCCUUCCCCAUCUCACUUCACACACGAAUCAUCCAGGCCUUCUACUAGCCAGUCCCACCUCCAGAGCAGAGAGCACAGAUGUUCUCCAUAUCCAUCCUGUUAAUAUACCAGACAAGAUUCAUCCAGGGCUUCUACUUGCCAGUCCCAACAGAGCCAAGGUCAUCGCAGCUCUCACCCUCCCAUUCCCUCCGCAGAGUUGUUUCCCAUGAAUAAUGCCAAAUUUCAGAAGUGUGUCCUAACUAAAUUGGAGAUAUUGGAGGAGGUGAAACGUGUUGGGAGAGCAGAGCCCCAAGACUCUGAGUUCCAUGUCAAGAGGAUGGAGACAGGGCAAGACUAUGAGCAACUAGAGAAGCAGCUCCAAGGUGUGGAUGCACAGAAUCUGAUGGUGAAAUUUAUUUUGUAGAUUUAGUCAGCAUUUUUCACACUACCUAAAGCGAUACAAAAAGCGAUGCCUGUAGAUGUAUUUUUUUUUUUGUAAAUUUUUUUUAAGUAGUCAUAUUGAGACAGUGGUUACUGCAUAACUUCUGGUGUUUCAAACAGUCUCUUGACACAGAUUGCAAGGUAAAGCAAAAUUGGUGUUAAGGACACAAGGACCGUGCCAACAAGGUCGUGGACAGGCUCUUUACCAAUGGCCUGAUGUCCUUGUUCAACUUCAAUGGCCAUCACGCAAAGCGAGGAUUAGGAAACACAACUCUGUACUCUGUUGUCAACGCUGCAGUCAAGAAAUGGAACAGCAAGGCCACUGACCAUGAUGUUCGGAGAGCUGCGGCAGACCACCUCAAACAUGCUCCUGGUAGAGCCAGGUGUGGUGGUUUCCACGUCACCACCACACAGGACCGUUGCUAACGCAGCGAAAUAUAUCUAUACUUUUGAUGGAUAAUUAUUCAGUGUAUAUAAUUAAUUAUAUUAAUUUGAACUUAACUGUAUUUUGUCUUAUCACUGUACUAGAUAGUAUUCUUUGAAUGUUUUGUGAAAAUACUGGACUAAUGUAACGAGUAGUGUGAUUGUUAAUUUAAAAAAAAAUACAAACCAUUUUUUUGGUUACUGCGUCCAUGUGUAUAGGCUACAAGUACAUUGAAAUUAUGACAUUUGAAAGUCGUUAAAACAACGACCUGAAAAAUACAUCUCUUCAACUUUCACUUUCAACCAAAACAGGCCGUAGAAGGAUGUCUUUUUAUAGGUGUCUUUUCAACGACACGAAAGUCGUCUUUUCAAUGUCUUAUUUUUUUUACCCCUUUUUCUCCCCAAUUUCAUGGUAUCCAUUUGGUAGUUACAGUCUUGUCUCAUCGCUGCAACUCCCGUACGGACUCGGGAGAGGCGAAGGUCGAGAGCCGUGCGUCCUCCGAAACAACCCAACCAAGCCGCACUGCUUCUUGACACAAUGGUCACUUAACCUGGAAGCCAGCAGCACCAAUGUGUCGAAGGAAACACUGUUAACCGGGUGACCGUGACAAGAACAUCCCUGCUGGCCAAACACUCCCCUAACCCGGAUGACGCUGGGUUAAUUGUGCGCCUCCCUAUGGAUCUCCUGGUUGUGACAGAGCCUGGAAUCGAAUCCAGAAUCUAGUGUCACAGCUAGCACUGCGAUGCGGUGUCUUAGAGCACCGCGGCACCCGGAAGGCCCUUUUUCAAUGUCUUUUUAACGAAAGUUUGCUGGGUAGGAAGCUAACCCAAACUUGAAACUCACACGCCACAUAUGGUGUUUAAUAUAACACUCAUACAUCAUACAUACUCAUACAUACAUACUCAUACAUACAUUAAAAGUGGAAAUCAAAUUCCUGUCCAACUUUAUUCGUUCUGGCGCCAGCCCUGGUGAGACUUGACUCACAUUCAUAUCACUUGUUCACUUGACUACCUCAGCAUUCUCCUUAGUGGGUGAAGUGUCGGGCGGUGAAUGUGAAGAGAAACAUUUUGUGUUUGUUGCACUCACUGGUAGUGAUUCUGCUGAUAUUCCAAAGAAAGGUCUUCUUGCAGUGACUGUGGUAUGUUAUUGAAUUUCCCCACUAAACUUCACUAACUGACUCAAAUGUAAAAAUGGGAACCAAAUCAUACAGAAAUCACAGAUCCAGGAACACCAGAAACCACAUCCUCAAAUUUGGAGGGAUAGCGAGGACACCCCACUUCCCAUUUCAUGCAAUGCCCUACCCUAGACACCGCCCCCCGCUGAUUUCCUCCGAUUCUCAUGAAGGAACCGUGUGGGAGGAGGACACAUGCAGAGAGAAAGAGAGUAAGACGGGGGACAAUAAAGCCUGAGCAUCACAGGGAAAACUUAUUGUGUGUAUUUGUCCGACAAAAGGUAACCCUUGAGACUGGAGAACACAAGGCCGUUGUUGGAACAGCAGUGCAAGGUCUGAGUAGCAUCCUGUGUUGUCAGCAGUAAGAGAUCCACAGACAGGCAGACAGAGAUACUCUACCAUCCAACAGGACAGGAGCUGUGUCCUCUCAUCACACAGCCAGGAGGCAUGGCCGCCAACUGGAUCACUGGCCCGUCCAAUCAGACAACAGACUUCGGCAGUGUGUUCACUCACCAGGUGCUCCCAGUUCUCUACGUGCUGAUCGGCGGCGUGGGCUUGGCUCUCAACAGCUUGGCUGCCUGGAUAUUUUUCCGGGUGCCCAGCGACUCAGGCAUGGUGGUCUACUUGAAAAACAUGGUAGUGGCCGACCUGCUGAUGCUGCUCACCUUCCCCUUGCGUGUGGCCAGCGAGCUCGGCCUGGGCGGCUGGCAGGUCCGCGUGGCCGUGUGCCGCUACAGCGCCGUGCUCUUCUACUCCUCCAUGUACGUGGGCAUCAUCUUAAUGGGCCUCAUCAGCCUGGAGCGCUACGUCAAGGUCGUAGGUCACUCGUCUUCCUGCACACACCUCCUGCAGCGAGUGGGGUUCACCCGGGUCCUGGCCCUGCUGACGUGGAGCCUGCUGCUGCUUUCCGUACUCCCCAAUGUCGUGCUGACCAGCAAGCCUGCGGACGAGGAGAGCUCCAGACACUGUGUGCAGCUAAAGACCCCCCUGGGUCAGCAGUGGCACAAGGUGUCCUCGUAUUUCGGUGUGGCCCUGUUCUGGGCCACUGUACUGGUUCUAGCCUUCUGCUACUCUUCCAUUGCCCACCACUUCUACAAGUCGUACCGCCGCGUUCGCCAGGACGACAGCGGGGUGUACAGCAAGUCCAACUGCAGUAUCUUCAGCCUCCUGGCCGUGUUCUUCAUUUGUUUCGUGCCCUACCACAUCUGCCGCGUGACCUACACCCAAAGCCAGUUACCCGGCUCCGGCUUCAGCUGGCACAGCCGUUAUAUGCUGUUCCAGGCGAAGGAGGUCACCCUCUUCCUGUCAGCACUCAAUGUGUGCCUGGACCCCGUCAUCUACUUCUUGAUGUGCACUAAGUUCCGCGAGUCACUACUGAAGAAACUGCCCAGAGGCAGGGGAGGGCCAAAGAGAUGUUCCCUUACCACAGAACAGACUGUUAGUAAUAUGUGAUGAGAAGAGGAAAGGAGUGAGAACAGGUGAGUUGAAAGAAGAAUCAUAUGUGGAAAAAUAGUAAACCAGCAAAAGGCAAAGAAUUCUAAUACUAGAUACAGUAUGUAUUUAUAUAUUGCAGGGAGUUCGACUGACCCUUUUGUAAUGAACUCCGCUGAAGACAUGUCUGGACUGCAAUAGAAAUUAUAGACAUUUGUUACAGACAUUUGUUUGUAGAAAACACCUUUACAGUAUUAAAAAUGCUUACGUUUCAUUGCUACUGAUGCCAUAGAAUAAGACAUGGGUUAAGACAUUUUUUGUUGUUUUAAAUA